AGUGAACGCUGGCGGCAGGCCUAACACAUGCAAGUCGAACGGCAGCACAAGAGAGCUUGCUCUCUGGGUGGCGAGUGGCGGACGGGUGAGGAAUGCAUCGGAAUCUGCCCAUUUGUGGGGGAUAACCUCGGGAAACCGGGACUAAUACCGCAUACGACCUACGGGUGAAAGCAGGGGAUCUUCGGACCUUGCGCAGAUGGAUGAGCCGAUGCCGGAUUAGCUAGUUGGAGGGGUAAAGGCCCACCAAGGCGACGAUCCGUAGCUGGUCUGAGAGGAUGAUCAGCCGCACUGGGACUGAGACACGGCCCAGACUCCUACGGGAGGCAGCAGUGGGGAAUAUUGGACAAUGGGCGCAAGCCUGAUCCAGCCAUGCCGCGUGUGUGAAGAAGGCCUUCGGGUUGUAAAGCACUUUUGUUGGGAAAGAAAAGCAGCCGGUUAAUACCCGGUUGUCAUGACGGUACCCAAAGAAUAAGCACCGGCUAACUUCGUG
rnacentral:rRNA from 1 species